GGGCGAUAUAGUCAAGCGGUAAGACGGAGGACUGCAAAUCCUUGAUGCCCCAGUUCGAAUCUGGGUGUCGCCUA
rnacentral:tRNA from 1 species